GAUGAACGCUAGCGACAGGCUUAACACAUGCAAGUCGAGGGGCAGCAUAAAAGUAGCAAUACUUUGGUGGCGACCGGCGCACGGGUGAGUAACGCGUAUGCAACCUACCUAUCAGAGGGGGAUAACCCGGCGAAAGUCGGACUAAUACCGCAUAAAACAGGGGCACCGCAUGGUGAUAUUUGUUAAAAAUUUAUUGCUGAUAGAUGGGCAUGCGUUCCAUUAGGUAGUUGGAGAGGUAACGGCUCACCAAGCCAACGAUGGAUAGGGGAACUGAGAGGUUGGUCCCCCACACUGGUACUGAGACACGGACCAGACUCCUACGGGAGGCAGCAGUGAGGAAUAUUGGUCAAUGGGCGAGAGCCUGAACCAGCCAAGUCGCGUGAAGGAAGAAGGAUCUAUGGUUCGUAAACUUCUUUUGCAGGGGAAUAAAGUGCAGGACGUGUCCUGUUUUGUAUGUACCCUGAGAAUAAGGAUCGGCUAACUCCGUGCCAGCAGCCGCGGUAA
rnacentral:rRNA from 1 species